rnacentral:SRP_RNA from 2 species
UUUUCGGUUCCUCGCAACUAGCUUUAGCUCACCGGGUCAGGUUCGGAAGAAAGCAGCCCAAGUUAAACGUUGGUGUGCCGAGAAAAAGCUGGAAAGGU